UGUAUUAGCCAAAGUGAAUAAAAAAAAAAUUAACUAAAACAACAACAACUACAUUAAAGAAAUACAUAUCUUAUUUGGAGGGGGAGAUAGAAAAGUAAAUGAACGUAUUGAUGAAAGAAACCUAAAGCGUAAAGUUAAACUAGAGUUUUUUGGGGUUAGAAUUUGGCACUUUUUGUGUAAAUUGCAAUAAGAUUUUAUCAAAAUGGACCUGCUAUAAAUAUACACCCACACUUAUGAUCGGUCAUAAUGCAAUCGUAAAUGUAAAAUACAAGGCAGAGAAUAUAAAAAAAUAAUGUGAAAAAAGAGAAACAGCAUUUCCAGCAUCCUUUUUCUUAGCAGUAAAGGAUGAUGUCAGCGCAUUGCUGCCAUUCACUUGAAUACCCAUGUCCAACGCCAUCUUCACCAAUUAAAGACGACGGUGAUGGAUAGAUAAAUUGAUGAAUGGUGUUUUAUGCAGAUCUAAAAUAUUUUUUGGUUAUUGCAUAUAUUUUAUUAUAAACCAAAAUAUUUUGCCAUCAAUUUA